rnacentral:rRNA from 1 species
UACGUAGGGACCAAGCGUUGUCCGGAAUUAUUGGGCGUAAAGAGCUCGUAGGCGGUCUGUCGCGUCGGCUGUGAAAACCCGGGGCUCAACCCCGGGCCUGCAGUCGAUACGGGCAGACUAGAGUGUGGUAGGGGAGACUGGAAUUCCUGGUGUAGCGGUGAAAUGCGCAGAUAUCAGGAGGAACACCGGUGGCGAAGGCGGGUCUCUGGCCCGAUACUGACGCUGAGGCACGAAAGCGUGGGGAGCAAACAGG